CCUCUCUUUUGUGUCUCUCUCUCCUCUCCUUCGUCGGUGAAAUCAAGCGUCCAUCUUCUCCGACGAUUCCGAUGUGGUGAGGAUCCAGAGCAAUCGAAGCUCCGAGUUGGGUUGGACUCUGCGAUUGUGAGGGAGAAGCCUAACAUUAAGUGGACUGAUGUCGCUGCAGUUCUUCACCGGAAAGAGACGGCCUUGGCGAGCAAUGGGAAAGUGAUUCUAGAGUCAGCUAUCUUGACAACGGUUGUGGUGCUUUCCCUCACCGUGUACACCUUCUGGGCUGCUAAGGGAGGAUAUGACUUCAACUUCCUCGGACACAGAGGAGAAUGCAGAGUAUGAAGUAAAAGUGAAAGAGGUUAAUAUAGCUCGUAAUCCUAUAGCUUGAGCCAAGCGAGAUACCUUUACCAUCUCUGCCAACACAGGUUGCUUCUUUUUUUACUUUACAUUGAUACCAUUGAAAGAUGUUUCCUUUGUGAUGAUGAUGAAUGUGUUAGUUAUGAA